rnacentral:rRNA from 1 species
UACGGAGGUGGCAAGCGUUGUCCGGAUUUAUUGGGCGUAAAGAGCUCGUAGGCGGCUUGUCGCGUCGUCCGUGAAAACUUGGGGCUCAACCCCAAGCUUGCGGUCGAUACGGGCAGGCUAGAGUUCGGUAGGGGAGACUGGAAUUCCUGGUGUAGCGGUGAAAUGCGUAGAUAUCAGGAGGAACACCGGUGGCGAAGGCGGCUACCUGGACAGAAACUGACGCUGAGGCGCGAAAGCUAGGGGAGCAAACAGG